rnacentral:rRNA from 1 species
UACGACUACAUAUCAGGCAUAUCAAUAAGCGGAGGAAAAGAAACUAACAAGGAUUCCCCUAGUAACGGCGAGUGAAGCGGGAAGAGGCUCAAAUUUGAAAUCUUAAAGGGUUUCCCUUUACGAAUUGUAGUUUAAAGAAGUGUUCUCUGUUGGAGUUUUGGUAAAAGUUCUUUGGAAUAGGACAUCAUAGAGGGUGAGAAUCCCGUAUUUGACCAUUAUUUCCAGCUUUGUGAUACACCUUCAAAGAGUCGGAUUGUUUGGGAAUGCAGUCCAAAAUGGGUGGUAAAUUUCAUCUAAAGCUAAAUAUUGGCGAGAGACCGAUAGCGAACAAGUACCGUGAGGGAAAGAUGAAAAGAACUUUGAGAAGAGAGUUAAACAGUACGUGAAAUUGUCAAAAGGGAAGCGUUUGACACCAGUGUUGUUUUCUCGAAAAUCAAUUAAAAAAAGGCAGGAUUUUGUGUUGUAUUGACUUUAUCAGCUUUCUGCACUCUUUUCUUGUCUUUUUUAAUGCACUUUUCGUUUAACAAGUCAACAUCAAUUUCUUUUGUUGUAAAAGGGUCAUUGGAAGGUGGCUUUCUUUUCGGAGAAAGUGUUUAUAGCCUUUGGCCUCUGCAAUCGGAGAGAUUGAGGUCUGCAGCGUAGAUCCUUCGGGGUUAGAUACAUUUGUGCUAAGUUAUAGCCUUUCAUAGACAACUUGUUGACUAUGAUCAGUCAUGUAGCUUACUCGCUUAUGCUAUUUUACCUACGCUUAGGAUGUUGAGCGCAUGUCUCUCUCU